rnacentral:rRNA from 1 species
GACGAACGCUGGCGGCGCGCCUAACACAUGCAAGUCGAACGGAGCUUAGAGAGCUUGCUUUUUAAGCUUAGUGGCGAACGGGUGAGUAACGUGUGAGUAACCUGCCCUAGAGUGGGGGACAACAGUUGGAAACGACUGCUAAUACCGCAUAAGCCCACGGUACCGCAUGGUACUGAGGGAAAAGGAUUUAUUCGCUUUAGGAUGGACUCGCGUCCAAUUAGCUAGUUGGUGAGGUAACGGCCCACCAAGGCGACGAUUGGUAGCCGGACUGAGAGGUUGAACGGCCACAUUGGGACUGAGACACGGCCCAGACUCCUACGGGAGGCAGCAGUGGGGGAUAUUGCACAAUGGGGGAAACCCUGAUGCAGCGACGCCGCGUGGAGGAAGAAGGUUUUCGGAUUGUAAACUCCUGUCGUUAGGGACGAUAAUGACGGUACCUAACAAGAAAGCACCGGCUAACUACGUGCCAGCAGCCGCGGUAAAACGUAGGGUGCAAGCGUUGUCCGGAAUUACUGGGUGUAAAGGGAGCGCAGGCGGGAAGACAAGUUGGAAGUGAAAACCAUGGGCUCAACCCAUGAAUUGCUUUCAAAACUGUUUUUCUUGAGUAGUGCAGAGGUAGAUGGAAUUCCCGGUGUAGCGGUGGAAUGCGUAGAUAUCGGGAGGAACACCAGUGGCGAAGGCGGUCUACUGGGCACCAACUGACGCUGAGGCUCGAAAGCAUGGGUAGCAAACAGGAUUAGAUACCCUGGUAGUCCAUGCCGUAAACGAUGAA